rnacentral:rRNA from 1 species
AUUGAACGCUGGCGGCAGGCCUAACACAUGCAAGUCGAGCGGAUGAUGGGAGCUUGCUCCUGGAUUCAGCGGCGGACGGGUGAGUAAUGCCUAGGAAUCUGCCUGGUAGUGGGGGACAACGUUUCGAAAGGAACGCUAAUACCGCAUACGUCCUACGGGAGAAAGCAGGGGACCUUCGGGCCUUGCGCUAUCAGAUGAGCCUAGGUCGGAUUAGCUUGUUGGUGAGGUAAUGGCUCACCAAGGCGACGAUCCGUAACUGGUCUGAGAGGAUGAUCAGUCACACUGGAACUGAGACACGGUCCAGACUCCUACGGGAGGCAGCAGUGGGGAAUAUUGGACAAUGGGCGAAAGCCUGAUCCAGCCAUGCCGCGUGUGUGAAGAAGGUCUUCGGAUUGUAAAGCGCUUUGAGUUGGGAGGAAGGGUUGUAGAUUAAUACUCUGCAAUUUUGACGUUACCGACAGAAUAAGCACUGGCUAACUCUGUGCCAGCCGCCGCUGUAAAAC